GUUUAUUAAGUAUAGUUUACUGGCGGUUGAUUGUACUUCUUUCACCUUCUCUACAUUUUUUCACUUAUUCUACGAUUUCAAAUGUGAUGUCGAUGUAUAUGUGUAUAUGUAUGUGUCGAUAUGCAUUCGAUUAUUGACAUACACUUUUGGAGGGAAGAAAGCUGUAGGCGGAGAUGUAAAUAAACGCGCAUUAAUUGAUCAAUUUGGUCUUUUAUCUUUUGCUCACUAAUAAGUUUGAUUUGUAUAGCGGUUAUCGUAAUUAUGAAAUUAUCGUUUUUAUUUUACCAACUUGUCCAUAGCCACGAUCACAGACACAAGAGAGGUGAAUGUAUCAUACAAUAGUAUCGAAGUUAUAAAUUGAUUUCGAAUUGAAAAAUUAAAGUUAUUCAAUAUUGAAAA